rnacentral:rRNA from 1 species
CCGCUCCUACGGGGGGCAGCAGUGAGGAAUAUUGGUCAAUGGACGAGAGUCUGAACCAGCCAAGUAGCGUGAAGGAUGACUGCCCUAUGGGUUGUAAACUUCUUUUAUAAAGGAAUAAAACGAGGCACGUGUGCCUUUUUGCAUGUACUUUAUGGAUAAGGAACGGCUAACUCCGUGCCAGCAGCCGCGGUAAUACGGAGGAUCCGAGCGUUAUCCGGAUUUAUUGGGUUUAAAGGGAGCGUAGAUGGGUUGUUAAGUCAGUUGUGAAAGUUUGCGGCUCAACCGUAAAAUUGAAAUUGAUACUG